rnacentral:rRNA from 1 species
AUGAACGCUAGCUACAGGCUUAACACAUGCAAGUCGAGGGGCAGCAUUUUAGUUUGCUUGCAAACUAAAGAUGGCGACCGGCGCACGGGUGAGUAACACGUAUCCAACCUGCCGAUAACUCGGGGAUAGCCUUUCGAAAGAAAGAUUAAUAUCCGAUAGUAUAUUAAAACCGCAUGGUUUUACUAUUAAAGAAUUUCGGUUAUCGAUGGGGAUGCGUUCCAUUAGUUUGUUGGCGGGGUAACGGCCCACCAAGACUACGAUGGAUAGGGGUUCUGAGAGGAAGGUCCCCCACAUUGGAACUGAGACACGGUCCAAACUCCUACGGGAGGCAGCAGUGAGGAAUAUUGGUCAAUGGACGAGAGUCUGAACCAGCCAAGUAGCGUGAAGGAUGACUGCCCUAUGGGUUGUAAACUUCUUUUAUAUGGGAAUAAAGUAUUCCACGUGUGGAAUUUUGUAUGUACCAUAUGAAUAAGGAUCGGCUAACUCCGUGCCAGCAGCCGCGGUAAUACGGAGGAUCCGAGCGUUAUCCGGAUUUAUUGGGUUUAAAGGGAGCGUAGGUGGAUUGUUAAGUCAGUUGUGAAAGUUUGCGGCUCAACCGUAAAAUUGCAGUUGAAACUGGCAGUCUUGAGUACAGUAGAGGUGGGCGGAAUUCGUGGUGUAGCGGUGAAAUGCUUAGAUAUCACGAAGAACUCCGAUUGCGAAGGCAGCUCACUAGACUGCAACUGACACUGAUGCUCGAAAGUGUGGGUAUCAAACAGGAUUAGAUACCCUGGUAGUCCACACAGUAAACGAUGAAUACUCGCUGUUUGCGAUAUACAGUAAGCGGCCAAGCGAAAGCAUUAAGUAUUCCACCUGGGGAGUACGCCGGCAACGGUGAAACUCAAAGGAAUUGACGGGGGCCCGCACAAGCGGAGGAACAUGUGGUUUAAUUCGAUGAUACGCGAGGAACCUUACCCGGGCUUAAAUUGCAUUUGAAUAAUCUGGAAACAGGUUAGCCGCAAGGCAAAUGUGAAGGUGCUGCAUGGUUGUCGUCAGCUCGUGCCGUGAGGUGUCGGCUUAAGUGCCAUAACGAGCGCAACCCUUAUCUUUAGUUACUAACAGGUCAUGCUGAGGACUCUAGAGAGACUGCCGUCGUAAGAUGUGAGGAAGGUGGGGAUGACGUCAAAUCAGCACGGCCCUUACGUCCGGGGCUACACACGUGUUACAAUGGGGGGUACAGAAGGCAGCUACCUGGCGACAGGAUGCUAAUCCCAAAAACCUCUCUCAGUUCGGAUCGAAGUCUGCAACCCGACUUCGUGAAGCUGGAUUCGCUAGUAAUCGCGCAUCAGCCAUGGCGCGGUGAAUACGUUCCUGGGCCUUGUACACACCGCCCGUCAAGCCAUGAAAGCCGGGGGUACCUGAAGUACGUAACCGCAAGGAGCGUCCUAGGGUAAAACUGGUAAUUGGGGCU